ensembl:lncRNA
CUGCUGGGCCGGGCCUUGGGAGCCCCACUGAUCCUCUGACAGCCCAAGACAGAUCGUCAGCGAGUGUGUGUUCAGAAAUCUGCCCCCCUGUGGCUACCAGAUGACAGUGUGGACCCCAGAGUGGAGGGGCCUGUCUAGCUGACCUGUGACUGCCCUGUCCAGAAGCCCUGUAGAUGGCACAUGCAGCCCAAAUAUUCGGGGCAGCAGCACCUCUGUGGAUGGCAGCCAGACUGGCCUUCCAGGGGGUGAUUAUUCCGGCAGCUGAGAAAGUUACCUGUCUGUGUCCCUGUUUCCUGACCUGUCAAAUGAAUGGAAGAUGGUGGUCAAGUUUCUGCUCAAGGGCCACCUUCUCAGGGCAGCCUUCCUUGAUUGCCCUAGGAAGACAUUGUUGGAGCAACAGCUUAGAGAAUCAAGGAGAAUGUGACUGUUUGUGUCUUUUAACCCACAAUGAUCCAUGCAACAGUAUCUUCCAGAUUUUCCAAUAGGCCAAAGAGAAAGUCUCCAACGAUGCUGUUAACAUCUUUUGAACACCCGUGGAUCGCGUGUGUGCUCUCCCAGUCUCUUUUGCUCUCUCUCUCACCUGGACAAAGCUGAUCUUGGACCCAGAACUUCUACAGACAAUGGUAUCCAGCUAGAAUUUGAGAAUAUUGUUUUGUUUCCAUUUUGCUCAUUUUGGUCAGUUACUUUUUAUUUGUGGUAAGGGAUUCUGAUUUUUUUUUUUUUUUCCUGUUUGGAUAUUACUGGUGAGAGUACAAAGUGGCCCUGGAGAAGCUAUGGAGAAGUGUUGGCAUUUUCUGAUAAAGUGAUUGUCUGGGACCAGGCUGGUGCUGGGGGCCUGAUGUUACAAGGGAACUUGUGACGGUAAUGGAAUGUUCUGUUUUGACUGAGGUAGUGGUUACGUGGGUGUGUAUAUUUGUUAAAAUAUGUUGCACUGUGCACCUAAAUAGAUGCAUUUUAUUCUGUAUAGAUUUUACCUCAAUAAAGUUGAUUUUAAAACACAUAUUUAAAUUUUAGUCAGCCUCCCAAGGCUGACUGAAGACAUUAUGUACAUAACAUAUAUAUUAAGAUAUUAAACACAGAUGCCCUGUGGGUGUGGCCAAGUCAUGAAGGUUGUCCAUCACACAGCAGUUUGGGAAACAUGGAAAGCAAGACACGUGAAAGUCAAAGUCGCUCAGU